rnacentral:tRNA from 1 species
UCCUUGGCAGUCCAAUGAUUAGAACUCCACACUUGCACUGCUGGAGGCCUAGGUUCGAUCCCUAGUUGGGGAA